CUUGAGUUUGAUCAUGGCUCAGAUUGAACGCUGGCGGCAGGCCUAACACAUGCAAGUCGAGCGGAAACGAUCCUAGCUUGCUAGGAGGCGUCGAGCGGCGGACGGGUGAGUAACGCAUAGGAAUCUGCCCGGUAGUGGGGGAUAACCUGGGGAAACCCAGGCUAAUACCGCAUACGUCCUACGGGAGAAAGCAGGGGAUCUUCGGACCUUGCGCUAUCGGAUGAGCCUAUGUCGGAUUAGCUGGUUGGUGAGGUAAUGGCUCACCAAGGCGACGAUCCGUAGCUGGUCUGAGGGGAUGAUCAGCCACGUCGGGACUGAGACACGGCCCGAACUCCUACGGGAGGCAGCAGUGGGGAAUAUUGGACAAUGGGCGCAAGCCUGAUCCAGCCAUGCCGCGUGUGUGAAGAAGGCCCUCGGGUUGUAAAGCACUUUCAGUGGGGAAGAAAUCCUCGGGGCUAAUACCCUCGAGGGAGGACAUCACCCACAGAAGAAGCACCGGCUAACUCCGUGCCAGC
rnacentral:rRNA from 1 species